AACGAACGCUGGCGGCAUGCCUAACACAUGCAAGUCGAACGAAGCCUUCGGGCUUAGUGGCGCACGGGUGCGUAACGCGUGGGAAUCUGCCCUUGGGUUCGGAAUAACAGUUAGAAAUGACUGCUAAUACCGAAUGAUGUCUUCGGACCAAAGAUUUAUCGCCCAAGGAUGAGCCCGCGUCGGAUUAGCUAGUUGGUGAGGUAAAGGCUCACCAAGGCGACGAUCCGUAGCUGGUCUGAGAGGAUGAUCAGCCACACUGGGACUGAGACACGGCCCAGACUCCUACGGGAGGCAGCAGUGGGGAAUUUUGGACAAUGGGCGCAAGCCUGAUCCAGCCAUUCCGCGUGAGUGAUGAAGGCCUUAGGGUUGUAAAGCUCUUUUACCCGAGAUGAUAAUGACAGUAUCGGGAGAAUAAGCUCCGGCUAACUCCGUGCCAGCAGCCGCGGUAAU
rnacentral:rRNA from 1 species